rnacentral:ncRNA from 1 species
ACAACGAAACAGGGGUGCUGCAUUUUAUUGUGCGGCUGAGAGUUACCCUUUAUACCCGAACAAGAUAAUACUUGCGUGGGGAGUUUUCAGCGUAACCGA